rnacentral:rRNA from 1 species
GACAGAGGCCCCAAGCGUUAGGCGGAAUCACUGGGCUUAAAGCGUGUGUAGGCGGAUCGUUAAGUGUCUUGUGAAAUCCCACGGCUCACCCGUGGAACUGCUGGGCAUACUGGCGAUCUUGGGCCAACUAGGGGCAGCCGGAACAAGCGGUGGAGCGGUGAAAUGCGUAGAUAUCGCUUGGAACGCCGAAGGUGAAAACAGGCUGCUGGGGUUGCGCCGACGCUGAGACACGAAGGCCAGGGGAGCAAACGGG